ACUUCUCAAGAAUAAGCCCUUCUUACCACUGCUUAAGAAGAAGCGCACUUAGCACUUCUGCUAUUCAUAUUACUUUCGUCUUAUCUAUGUGAAUAAUAUUCCUCGCAAUUGCGGUUCACAGCUCGCGAGACCACGAGUGACUAUAAACUAAAAUUAGCGGAGCAUAUUUAUAGCGGAGGACCAUGCCUACAACUGCCACAUGUGGCAAGCAAUUUCUUCGCAACUGCUCAAGGAGCAACGUGAUUUGUGCCAACCGCCUCACAUCGUAUUUUUUUUAUAUCCGCGAGAGGGAUGGAGCUUGUUAGGUAGGCAACUUUAGAUAGCCGACUUCUUAGUCUCCAAGACAAAUUGCACAAUGGAACAGCACGAAUGGAAGUAAGUUCCCUUCGGAUCGCAAAACCCUUUCGAAUGAGUAAAUCUGGCUGCCGGGGCCGAUGCCUCACCGGCGACACCGGGUCAGAGUGCACGUCCAUAACCGGUACGUGCGACCCGCGCCCGCCAACAAAUGCUGCAAGAAGCGCUGCAGAAACAGAACGGGCCGGGCGGAUAGAGACGAUCAGUGGCCGUCGGACAGCGAUCCGUGCCGGCCGGUGGCCCUCUCGCCGGCCGCCGCCGGGCCGCUGAAGCAGCGCUGCACCGAGCGCUUCCACUCGGCUGAGGAGGUGUGCCGCGGCUGCGGCGGCGCGGACGUGAGAUACCCGCACGGCCGAGGCGGCGGCGGCGUAUAUGAUAGA